GGCCCCAUUGCCUCUCCAAGGUGGAUAUCUUUUGCCAUUGAGAUCAGCUUCAUGUGUUACUGAAGACAGUCCAAAUGCACAUAAACAAUGACUGGACCCUCAGCCCUCCUGUUUCCAGUACAUUCCUAGGACUUGAUCUCAGCACGGAGCCCUCUGAUCAUGUACUGUACACUGAUGGAAGCAUGUGGCUGUGGCAAAUGUCCCCCAG